CGCAUUCAAAUAAAGCAACACUGUUUUAGCAUCUCUCAAUUUUUUUUCGUUUAUAUAAAGUCGGACAUCGUGCGUGAACAUAUAAAAUAUAUAUCGAAUAGAACAACAGAUUAAUACAACCCUGUAAAUACGAUAAAAUGUCGGCUGAAAACCAAUUACUCUAAAAAUUCUUACGUCGCUGCCGCGGCUCCUCCGGUUCUGCUGGAAGCUGAUCCUUUGUAUCCCGUUGAACCGGAAAUUGGCGUCUUUGCUCUCGAAGCCAUUUUGCUUCUAGAACCGGAAGUCUGACCUUGCAUGGGGCUACCACCAGAUGUGGACGAAACCGAUGGUGG